rnacentral:lncRNA from 1 species
CAAAUUUUAACAUAAAACAUUCACCAUAAUUCUAACAUCCGCUCCAAUCACAUAAUUACAUUGUCAUAAUUAAUUAUUUAAUUCAAUUAUAAAGAACUUCAAUUAUUGUCACUUGAAUUACUGCCGUUAGAUGAUCUUGCGCCCAUGGGAUAUAGGGAUCCACUAGCUGCAUCUUUAGGCUGCAAACAAAAUAAACAAUAAGAUCUUUUGAAUGCUAAUUAUAACUUGAGUUAUUUCUUGAGUAUAACAAAUAUAAUAAUAAUACAAAAACAAGAAAGUGUUGACAGAAACAAAGUACAAUCGAUCCACUAGAGAAGAGGGAGAAAGAAGAUCUUUAGUUUUUUUAUACGAAUAUCUCCUAAUGAAGAUAAUAUCAGUUGAAAAAAAAAUCACAAGUUUAUUUACCGUUGUAGGAGGAGAAGCAAAGAAAAUUGCUCCGAU